rnacentral:rRNA from 1 species
GACGAACGCUGGCGGCGUGCUUAACACAUGCAAGUCGAACGGUGAAGCUCAAGCUUGCUUGGGUGGAUCAGUGGCGAACGGGUGAGUAACACGUGAGCAACCUGCCCCGGACUCUGGAAUAAGCGCUGGAAACGGCGUCUAAUACUGGAUACGACACCAAUCCGCAUGGGUAUGGUGUGGAAAGUUUUUCGGUCUGGGAUGGGCUCGCGGCCUAUCAGCUUGUUGGUGAGGUAAUGGCUCACCAAGGCGACGACGGGUAGCCGGCCUGAGAGGGCGACCGGCCACACUGGGACUGAGACGCGGCCCAGACUCCUGCGGGAGGCAGCAGUGGGGAAUAUUGCACAAUGGGCGAAAGCCUGAUGCAGCGACGCCGCGUGAGGGAUGACGGCCUUCGGGUUGUAAACCCCUUUCAGCAGGGAAGAAGCGAAAGUGACGGUACCUGCAGAAGAAGCACCGGCUAACUACGUGCCAGCAGCCGCCGUAAAAC